rnacentral:tRNA from 1 species
AAUUAUAUUUCUAAUAUGGCAGAUUAUAUGUAAUGGAUUUAAACCCCAUUUAUAAAGGAUUAUCCUUUUUUUAGAA